UUAUCUUAGAACAGGGCUGUCCAACCUGCGGCCCCCCAGAUGUUGCUGAACUACAACUCCCAUGAUUCCCUGGCUUUAUGUUUCAUUGAAAGAAUCAUGGGAGUUGUAGUUCGGCAACAUCUGGGGGGGGGGGGCGCAGGUUGGACAGCCCUGUCUUAGAAUGU
rnacentral:miRNA from 1 species